UACGGGGGGGGCAAGCGUUGUUCGGAAUUACUGGGCGUAAAGGGCUCGUAGGCGGCCAACUAAGUCAGACGUGAAAUCCCCAGGCUCAACCCGGGAACUGCGUCCGAGACUGGAAGGCUUGAAUCCGGGAGAGGGAUGUGGAAUUCCAGGUGUAGCGGUGAAAUGCGUAGAUAUCGGGAGGAACAUCAGUGGCGAAGGCGGCUUACUGGACCAACACUGACACUGAGGCACGAAGGCCAGGGGAGCAAACGGG
rnacentral:rRNA from 1 species